rnacentral:rRNA from 1 species
AGGGACCACCGGGGGUGGAGUAUUUGACUCAAAAGGGGGAACCUUACCAGAGGUGGUGGUCGCCAGACAUGUUAAGGAUUGCAAGAUUGAUUUGCGGCUUGGCCUUUUUCUUGAUUCUAUCAAUGGCCGUUUGAAGUUGGUUGAGUGGUUUUUUUGGUUAUUCCCGUUAAAGAACAAGACGCUAACCUGCGCCCUAACAUAAAUUAGCUAUUUUAGGUCGCAAACUUCUUAAAGGGACUACUGGUGUUUACCCGAUGGAAUUUUGAGGCAUUAACAGGUCUUUGAUGCCCUAAGAUGUUCGGGGCCGCACGCGCGCUACACUGAUGAAGUAAUCGAGUUCAUUUCCUUUAUCGGAAGAUAGUGGUAAUCUUCUUGAAACUUUAUCGUGCUGUGGAUAGAGCAUUGCCACUAUGCCUCUUGAGGGAGGAAUCUUUAGUAAGUAAAGG